rnacentral:tRNA from 1 species
GUUUGAGUAGCUCAGAAGGUAGAGCAACGGCCUUCUAAGCCGUCGGUCGGGGGUUCGAAUCCCUCCUCAAACGCCA